rnacentral:rRNA from 1 species
UACGAAGGGUGCAAGCGUUACUCGGAAUUACUGGGCGUAAAGCGUGCGUAGGCGGUUUGUUAAGUCCGUUGUGAAAGCCCUGGGCUCAACCUGGGAAUUGCAGUGGAUACUGGCGAGCUAGAGUGCGGUAGAGGAUGGUGGAAUUCCCGGUGUAGCGGUAAAUGCGUAGAGAUCGGGAGGAACACCCGUGGCGAAGGCGGCCAUCUGGACCAGCACUGACGCUGAGGCACGAAAGCGUGGGGAGCAAACAGG